GUUAUAUGGUCAAGCGAAUAAGCGCACACGGUGGAUGCCUUGGCGGUCAGAGGCGAUGAAGGACGUGGCAGCCUGCGAAAAGUAUCGGGGAGCUGGCAACAAGCUUUGAUCCGGUAAUGUCCGAAUGGGGAAACCCACCCGCUUGCGGGUAUCCUGCAGUGAAUACAUAGCUGCUGGAAGCGAACCUGGUGAACUGAAAUAUCUAAGUAACCAGAGGAAAAGAAAUCAACCGAGAUUCCGUAAGUAGCGACGAGCGAACGCGGACUAGCCCUUAAGCUGAUUUGGUUCUAGGAAAACGCUCUGGAAAGAGCGGCCAUAGAAGGUGAUAGCCCUGUAUCUGAAAGGGCCAUUUCAGUGAAGACGAGUAGGGCGGGGCACGUGAAACCCUGUCUGAACAUGGGGGGACCAUCCUCCAAGGCUAAAUACUACUGACCGACCGAUAGUGAACCAGUACCGUGAGGGAAAGGCGAAAAGAACCCCGGAGAGGGGAGUGAAAUAGAACCUGAAACCGUGUGCGUACAAGCAGUAGGAGCUCCGCAAGGAGUGACUGCGUACCUUUUGUAUAAUGGGUCAGCGACUUACUGUUCGUGGCAAGCUUAACCGUAUAGGGGAGGCGAAGGGAAACCGAGUCUGAUAAGGGCGCAUAGUCGCGGGCAGUAGACCCGAAACCGGGUGAUCUAGUCAUGCCCAGGGUGAAGGUGCGGUAACACGCACUGGAGGCCCGAACCCACUCCCGUUGCAAAGGUAGGGGAUGAGGUGUGAUUAGGAGUGAAAAGCUAAUCGAACCCGGAGAUAGCUGGUUCUCCUCGAAAGCUAUUUAGGUAGCGCCUCAUAUGUAUCCUCUCGGGGGUAGAGCACUGUUAUGGCUAGGGGGUCAUCGCGACUUACCAAACCAUUGCAAACUCCGAAUACCGAGACGGACUGUAUGGGAGACACACGGCGGGUGCUAACGUCCGUCGUGAAAAGGGAAACAACCCAGACCCACAGCUAAGGUCCCAAAUUUUGUGCUAAGUGGAAAACCAUGUGGAAAGGCACAGACAGCCAGGAGGUUGGCUUAGAAGCAGCCACCCUUUAAAGAAAGCGUAAUAGCUCACUGGUCGAGUCGGUCUGCGGGGAAGAUUUAACGGGGCUAAGCACAGAACCGAAGCUUGGGGUGCAUAACUUUGUUAUGCGCGGUAGAGGAGCGUUCCGUAAGCCGUUGAAGGUGGAUUGAGAAGUCUGCUGGAGGUAUCGGAAGUGCGAAUGCUGACAUGAGUAACGAUAAUGCGGGUGAAAAACCCGCACGCCGAAAGCCCAAGGUUUCCUUGCGCAACGUUAAUCGGCGCAGGGUGAGUCGGCCCCUAAGGCGAGGACGAAAGUCGUAGUCGAUGGGAAGCAGGUUAAUAUUCCUGCACCUCGCGUAAGUGCGAUGGAGGGACGGAGAAGGUUAGGUGUACCAGGCGUUGGUUGUCCUGGGGAAAGGCGGUAGGUUUGGAUCUUUGGCAAAUCCGGGAUCCUUUAAGACCGAGCACCGAGACGAGCCUUUAAGGCGAAGUCACUGAUACCACGCUUCCAGGAAAAGCUCCUAAGCUUCAGCUUACGCAGACCGUACCGUAAACCGACACAGGUGGGUAGGAUGAGAAUUCUCAGGCGCUUGAGAGAACUCGGGUGAAGGAACUAGGCAACAUGGCACCGUAACUUCGGGAGAAGGUGCACCCUUUUUGGUGGCUCAUGCGAGCUAUAGCUGAAGAGGGUCGCAGUAACCAGGCCGCUGCGACUGUUUAUCAAAAACACAGCACUCUGCAAACACGAAAGUGGACGUAUAGGGUGUGACGCCUGCCCGGUGCUGGAAGGUUAAUUGAUGGGGUCAGCCGCAAGGCGAAGCUCUUGAUCGAAGCCCCAGUAAACGGCGGCCGUAACUAUAACGGUCCUAAGGUAGCGAAAUUCCUUGUCGGGUAAGUUCCGACCUGCACGAAUGGCGUAACGACAGCGGCGCUGUCUCCACCCGAGACUCAGUGAAAUUGAAAUCGCUGUGAAGAUGCAGCGUUCCCGUGGCAAGACGGAAAGACCCCGUGAACCUUUACUAUAGCUUUACACUGAACGUUGAGUUCGUCUGUGUAGGAUAGGUGGGAGGCUAUGAAACCAUGGCGCUAGCUGUGGUGGAGCCAUCCUUGAAAUACCACCCUGUCGUGCUUGACGUUCUAACCUGGGCCCAUUAUCUGGGUCGGGGACCGUGUAUGGUGGGUAGUUUGACUGGGGCGGUCUCCUCCUAAAGAGUAACGGAGGAGCUCGAAGGUACGCUCAGCGCGGUCGGACAUCGCGCACUGUGUGCAAAGGCAUAAGCGUGCUUGACUGCAAGAUCGACGGAUCAAGCAGGUAGGAAACUAGGACUUAGUGAUCCGGUGGUUCUGUAUGGAAGGGCCAUCGCUCAACGGAUAAAAGGUACUCCGGGGAUAACAGGCUGAUACCGCCCAAGAGUUCAUAUCGACGGCGGUGUUUGGCACCUCGAUGUCGGCUCAUCACAUCCUGGGGCUGUAGUCGGUCCCAAGGGUAUGGCUGUUCGCCAUUUAAAGUGGUACGCGAGCUGGGUUCAGAACGUCGUGAGACAGUUCGGUCCCUAUCUGCCAUGGGCGUUGGAGAUUUGAGAGGGGCUGCUCCUAGUACGAGAGGACCGGAGUGGACGAACCUCUGGUGUUCCGGUUGUCACGCCAGUGGCAUUGCCGGGUAGCUAUGUUCGGAAGCGAUAACCGCUGAAAGCAUCUAAGCGGGAAGCGCGCCUCAAGAUGAGAUCUCCCGGGGCACAAGCCCCCUGAAGGAACCAUGUAGACUACGUGGUUGAUAGGUCAGGUGUGUAAGUACAGCAAUGUAUUGAGCUAACUGAUACUAAUGAUCCGUGCGGCUUGACCAUAUAACCU
rnacentral:rRNA from 1 species